UACGUAGGGUGCGAGCGUUAAUCGGAAUUACUGGGCGUAAAGCGUGCGCAGGCGGUUCGUUAAGUUCGUCGUGAAAGCCCCGGGCUCAACCUGGGAACUGCGAUGGAAACUGGCGGGCUUGAGUAUGGCAGAGGGGGGUGGAAUUCCGCGUGUAGCAGUGAAAUGCGUAGAGAUGUGGAGGAAUACCGAUGGCGAAGGCAGCCCCCUGGGAUAACACUGACGCUCAUGCACGAAAGCGUGGGGAGCAAACAGG
rnacentral:rRNA from 1 species